GCCGGCAUAGCUCAGUUGGUAGAGCAACCGCCUUGUAAGCGGUAGGUCGGGGGUUCAAGUCCCUCUGCCGGCACCA
rnacentral:tRNA from 1 species